GAGCUGAGAAGAGCUUGCUUUUCUUAGCUUAGUGGCGAACGGGUGAGUAACGCGUGAGUAACCUGCCCUGGAGUGGGGGACAACAGUUGGAAACGACUGCUAAUACCGCAUAAGACCACGGAUCCGCAUGGAUCUGCGGGAAAAGGAUUUAUUCGCUUCAGGAUGGACUCGCGUCCAAUUAGCUAGUUGGUGAGGUAACGGCCCACCAAGGCGACGAUUGGUAGCCGGACUGAGAGGUUGAACGGCCACAUUGGGACUGAGACACGGCCCAGACUCCUACGGGAGGCAGCAGUGGGGGAUAUUGCACAAUGGGGGAAACCCUGAUGCAGCGACGCCGCGUGGAGGAAGAAGGUUUUCGGAUUGUAAACUCCUGUCGUUAGGGACGAUAAUGACGGUACCUAACAAGAAAGCACCGGCUAACUACGUGCCAGCAGCCGCGGUAAAACGUAGGGUGCAAGCGUUGUCCGGAAUUACUGGGUGUAAAGGGAGCGCAGGCGGACCGGCAAGUUGGAAGUGAAAACUAUGGGCUCAACCCAUAAAUUGCUUUCAAAACUGCUGGCCUUGAGUAGUGCAGAGGUAGGUGGAAUUCCCGGUGUAGCGGUGGAAUGCGUAGAUAUCGGGAGGAACACCAGUGGCGAAGGCGACCUACUGGGCACCAACUGACGCUGAGGCUCGAAAGCAUGGGUAGCAAACAGGAUUAGAUACCCUGGUAGUCCAUGCCGUAAACGAUGAUUACUAGGUGUUGGAGGAUUGACCCCUUCAGUGCCGCAGUUAACACAAUAAGUAAUCCACCUGGGGAGUACGACCGCAAGGUUGAAACUCAAAGGAAUUGACGGAA
rnacentral:rRNA from 1 species